AGGAUUAACGUUGGCGGCGUGCAUAACACAUGCAAGUUGAGCGUGGCCUUAGUUUACUAAGGUCUAGCAGCGGACGGCUGAGUAAUGCACAGGAACGUACCUCAGAGUGGGGGAUAGCCUCGGGAAACCGAGGGUAAUACCGCAUGUGCUCGCAAGAGUAAAGCCGCAAGGCGCUGUGAGAACGGCCUGUGUCCUAUCAGGUUGUUGGUGAGGUAACGGCUCACCAAGCCUAUGACGGGUAGCUGGUCUGAGAGGAUGACCAGCCAGAUCGGGACUGAGACACGGCCCGAACUCCUACGGGAGGCAGCAGUUGGGAAUUUUGCGCAAUGGACGAAAGUCUGACGCAGCGACGCCGCGUGAAGGAUGAAGGCUUUAGGGUUGUAAACUUCUUUUGCUAGGGAGUAAUUUGUGAACGUACCUAGCGAAUAAGCACCGGCUAACUCCGCGCCAGCAGCCGC
rnacentral:rRNA from 1 species